ACGUAGGGUGCGAGCGUUAAUCGGAAUUACUGGGCGUAAAGUGUGCGCAGGCGGCCGCGCAAGUCGAGUGUGAAAUCCCCGGGCUUAACCUGGGAAUGGCAUUUGGGACUGCAAGGCUGGAGUGCGGCAGAGGAGACUGGAAUUCCUGGUGUAGCAGUGAAAUGCGUAGAUAUCAGGAGGAAUACCGAUGGCGAAGGCAGGUCUCUGGGCUGACACUGACGCUCAUGCACGAAAGCGUGGGGAGCAAACAGGA
rnacentral:rRNA from 1 species